rnacentral:rRNA from 2 species
GGCUCUUUCCGGGAUUGUAAAGCACUUUCAGUUGGGAGGAAGGGGAUUAAGCUAAUACCUUGCUGUUUUGACGUUACCGACAGAAUAAGCACCGGCUAACUCUGUGCCAGCAGCCGCGGUAAUACAGAGGGUGCAAGCGUUAAUCGGAAUUACUGGGCGUAAAGCGCGCGUAGGUGGUUCGUUAAGUUGGAUGUGAAAUCCCCGGGCUCAACCUGGGAACUGCAUCCAAAACUGGCGAGCUAGAGUAGGGCAGAGGGUGGUGGAAUUUCCGGUGUAGCGGUGAAAUGCGUAGAUAUAGGAAGGAACACCAGUGGCGAAGGCGACCACCUGGGCUCAUACUGACACUGAGGUGCGAAAGCGUGGGGGAGCAAACAGGAUUAGAUACCCUGGUAGUCCACGCCGUAAACGAUGUCAACUAGCCGUUGGAAUCCUUGAGAUUUUACUGGCGGAGCUAACGCAUUAAGUUGACCGCCUGGGGAGUACGGCCGCAAGGUUAAAACUCAAAUGAAUUGACGGGGGCCCGCACAAGCGGUGGAGCAUGUGGUUUAAUUCGAAGCAACGCGAAGAACCUUACCUAGUCUUGACAUCCAAAUGAACUUUCCAGAGAUGGAUUGGUGCCUUCGGGAACUC